UACGGGGGGGGGUAAGCGUUGUUCGGAAUUACUGGGCGUAAAGGCUCGUAGGCGGCCAACUAAGUCGGACGUGAAAUCCCUCGGCUUAACCGGGGAACUGCGUCUGAUACUGGAUGGCUUGAAUCCGGGAGAGGGAUGCGGAAUUCCAGGUGUAGCGGUGAAAUGCGUAGAUAUCUGGAGGAACACCGGUGGCGAAGGCGGCAUCCUGGACCGGCAUUGACGCUGAGGAGCGAAAGCAUGGGGAGCGAACAGG
rnacentral:rRNA from 1 species